GGAUAGAUGUGUGAGUGGCUUAAACAAGCAGUUUACUAAACUGCCGUCCCCUAAAAAGGACCGUGGGUUCGAAUCCCACUCUAUCCG
rnacentral:tRNA from 1 species